rnacentral:rRNA from 1 species
UAGGGAAUCUUCCACAAUGGACGCAAGUCUGAUGGAGCAACGCCGCGUGAGUGAAGAAGGUUUUCGGACCGUAAAGCUCUGUUGUUGGUGAAGAAGGAUAGAGGUAGUAACUGGCCUUUAUUUGACGGUAAUCAACCAGAAAGUCACGGCUAACUGCGUGCCAGCAGCCGCGGUAAUACGUAGGUGGCAAGCGUUGUCCGGAUUUAUUGGGCGUAAAGCGAGCGCAGGCGGAAGAAUAAGUCUGAUGUGAAAGCCCUCGGCUUAACCGAGGAAUUGCAUCGGAAACUGUUUUCUUGAGUGCAGAAGAGGAGAGUAGAACUCCAUGUGUAGCGGUGGAAUGCGUAGAUAUAUGGAAGAAUACCGGUGGCGAAGGCGGCUCUCUGGUCUGCAACUGACGCUGAGGCUCGAAAGCAUGGGUAGCGAACAGGAUUAGAUACCCUGGUAGUCCAUGCCGUAAACGAUGAGUGCUAAGUGUUGGGAGGCUUCCGCCUCUCAGUGCUGCAGCUAACGCAUUAAGCACUCCGCCUGGGGAGUACGACCGCAAGGUUGAAAC